rnacentral:rRNA from 1 species
GACGACAUAUCUUUCAAGUGUCUGACUUAUCAACUUUAGACGGUACAUUAUAUGUCUACCGUGGUUGUAACGAGUACAGAGAAUCAGGGUUUGGUUCUGGAGAGGCCGCCUGAGAAACGGCGACCACUUCCAAGGAAGGCAGCAGGCGCGCAAAUUACCCACUCUCAAAACGAGGAGGUAGUGAAGAGAAAUAACGAUGUUAGUCUAUUAUAGGCUGACAAUCGGAAUGGGAACACUGUAAACAGGUUAUCGAUUAACAAUUGGAGGGCAAGUCUGGUGCCAGCAGCCGCGGUAAUUCCAGCUCCAAUAAGGAAAACUAAAGUUGCUGUGUUUAAAAAGCUCGUAGUUGAAUUUCGGGUAUUUGUUGCUAGCUGGUCUAACUGGCCAUGUUGGUUAACAGAUCCUCAUUUGCUGGACGGCUGGCGAUGAUCUUCAUCGAUUGUCGUCAGUUGCCAGAACGUUUACUUUGAGAAAAUUAGAGUGCUAAAAGCAGGCUCACGCCUAUAUAUAUUGCAUGGAAUAAUGAAAUAAGAUCUCGAUUUUAUUUCGUUGGUUUUAGAAAUUGAGAUAAUGAUUAAUAGGAUCAGAGGGGGGCGUACGUACUGUGGUGUGAGAGGUGAAAUUCUUGGAUCGCCACAGGACGAACAGCAGCGAAGGCGUUCGCCAAGAAUGUUUUCAUCAAUCAAGAACGAAAGUUUGAGGUUCGAAGACGAUUAGAUACCGUCCUAGUUCAAACCAUAAACGUUGCCAACUGUCUUUUAGAUGCGGUUAUUUAUAUGACUCAUCUGGCGGAUCUCGAGAAAUCUAAGUUUUUAGGUUCCGGGGGAAGUAUGGUUGCAAAGCUGAAACUUAAAAGAAUUGACGGAAGGACACACAAGAAGUGGAGCCUGUGGCCUAAUUUGACCCAACACGGGAAACCUUACUCGGCCAGGACACUUUUAGGAUUGACAGAUUGAGAGCUCUUUCUUGAUUAGGUGGGUGGUGGUGCAUGGUCGUUCGUAGUUCGUGGAGCGAUUUGUCUGAUUAAUUUCGAUAACGAACGAGACUCCGGCUUACUAAAUAGUCUAAAGUUCGAAGGGACUUUUCAAGACUUCUUAGCAGGAUAAGUGGCACUUUUUAAGCCACACGAAAUGGAGCAAUAACAGGUCUGUGAUGCCCUUAGAUGUCCGAGGCUGCACGCGCGCUACACUGGAGAGUUCAGAAUGUUUCUUCCUACUUCGACAGAAGUGGGUAACCAUGAAAUUCUCUUCGUGACUGGGAUCGGAGCUUGC